GGCCUCCCGAGGACACCCAGCGAGGCCACCAGAUCAUCACGUGGAGUAUCGGUGGCCUUAUUAAAACAAAAACAACAACUCCACAGCCCGGCGAGCGAAAUUAUUGCAACACCCUGCAGCGUUCAGACUUGUCAUGGAUGACUCUAACAGGGCAGGUGUUACCACGUCAACUGGUCCAAAAAACAAAAUACCGGGUGCACAUCCCUUGAAGUUUCGGGUGUGUUUACUCUGAGGCACCGUGCACUGCAAAGCUGGGGAUUCACAGGCAAGUUUAGGUGAAUCCUCGGAACACGUGACUGAUGAAUUCCGGGCCCGUGUCGGGCUCUCAGCCAGCGCCUGCUCCGUGCGCCAGGGACGGAGUGCUGCCUUCUCGGGAGUCACACGGGACUGGCUUAGCCCUGGCGAGUGUUUCGCAUCAGGUGACAAGUUGUGCCGAGUGUCUGCCACCCUGCAUGCCCACACUGAAUCCGUGCAGGGCCCUCCCGGCCGCCUGCUCAGCUGUGGACACGGAGCUCCGGCACAGCCAAGUCCUGAAUGACAUGCAGCCAAUUCUCUUGGGCCCUUUCCGGGUUUGUCUGUGGUCCUUCCUUCUGUGUUUCCAGGCUGAGUCCUAAGGCCCUGGUCCUGUGCCCAGUGUGGUGCCUUGGAAGUUCUGAAAGUCACAGGGUUGAGCAUGUGAUCAUAUCUCCAGCGGACGACACCAAAAGAAUGUCUGUGACCUCGUCCCCUGGCGACCACGUCUACAGUGACUGAGUGCUGCCGUGGCUGGAAAGCCAGGGUCUGCAUCUCCCAGGACCUCAGGACCUGUGAUGAGGGGAUCCAGAGUGCGAGGAUAUCCAGAGAGCUGGAAUGAGGAUUUUGCUGAGCUGAGGGCUAAGCUUGAAGCAGAAGAAACCACAGUAAAAACACUGGUCAAUGUAUGCUCGGAUCUACUCAGCGACUUUCCAGAGAGCCGUGUGGCUUUACUAAUGACAGACAUCGUGGUGCAUUCCAGACCCCUGGGCUUGUUCAUCUGACGUCACUGCAACCUCCUGAUUCCACUCAAUAGGCCAAGACAAGCGGAAGCUCCGGUUCAGGGAGAACGUUCCCCAGGAAAUCAGGGCAGCAGAGUUUUCCAGGAACGGAGGCUGUGACGGUGGAGGGUGGCCAGGCAGCAGGAGGCCGGGGAAGCGGGUGUCCUGAAGCAGAGGCCGCGGCGCCACGUGUAUGGCAGCUUGCAGAGUCCUGCAAAGUGGAUCUUGAUGCUGUGGCCCUUACGGGUGAGGCGGGAGCAGCCCAUAGAUGCCGGGGCCUGGCCGGCCUGGGCUUUUCUCUGUGCAGCCUACAGGGGAGCCUGUAAGGGCCUGCAGCCGGUGCUCCGAUACAGCGGCUGGGAAGUGGAACACUUGGCAACUGCUGGGUCACCUCGCUGUGUUUUCUGAGGCACAUGUGUUUUGGAACGUAGUGUUAGUGAACGUCCGUCCGUGAGGGCUUCCAUCUCUCAGGAUAAAAGCCAAAGUGAUUGCUCCAAAUGGACAUCCAUGCCAGUCAUCUGUGUAAGGAUCGCUGAGUGUCUCACAAAAGCACGUGGGUAUGAAGGUGGGGUUGACAUUGAUGAUUAAACCAAGCAGUACAGAAGCAUCGGUGCUGGUCACUUAUCCCCGUCCUUCCCAUCAUUCGAGAUCCCCUUCCAGCGAAUGGCAUCUUCUGGUGUGUGCAGGACCCGAUGGAGGAGUGAUGAGACCUCAGAGCCAUGUCCAGGCUCUUCCAGUCAGUUGGUGGCCUCCACAAAUGCCAGCCAGCCCGCCCAAUGCAAGCUUCUGCUUGGCCAACGUGUAGCAGUUACGAUGCAGCAAUUGGAAGAGGCUGUGGGGAUCAGUAAUUCCAGUGGGGGAGCGACGGACACCCCUAAGAACCCAUUCCACGAUUUUAGUCCCAAAUUGGAUUUUGCUUGGAGAAAUUCUCUGCCCUGUAGUAGUGGUUUUUAAGAUCACAGAUAUUGGAGUAAGAAAGACAAGGCUCUUCUAUUUGCUGGUCUAUUGACUCACAGGGGAAUACCAGAGAACUUGGCAUCCAGAAAACAGUCAACAAAUGAAGACAGUGCAACUAAGACCUGGGCGCCAUGUUCCUUCCCUAAGGCUCAUUUCACUAGGAUGCUGUGUCAGCACGCGCACACACACACACACACACACUCACACACUCCAGGAAGCCUCUAAAAGAAAUGCAAGUGUUCUCCAGUAGAAGGAGCAUCGCUGAAAUUUACUCAACAGCACGGUCUUCGUGUCUUUCCCUCCCAGGCCCACACUCUCAGCUGCCUCCUCCCCUCUCGCUCCUUUCCUCCUGUGUUCUCCAGCAAGGGUGAGGACCCACUGUCAUUCAGAAAACCUCCUCCUAGUUUUUCUAUGCAGGGAGUCAUUCACACAUCCAGCAAGGAAAACAGGGGCUUGUGCAGACUCUCCUUGGGAGGUAAUGGGAGAGGGAUUCUAAAUGCUUGUCACAUUUUUACCUGACACUGUUACUACCAUGUAACUACUAAUAACUAAUGCCAACUUCUGAAUCAUAUUUCCUAUCAUCUUAUGAGAGAGAACUCUGUGGUGUAUAAACACCAAAUCACAAAUCUCCACUUUACAUUCUUGUUUGUCUACUUGUUUGUCUGUUUUCCACUGCAGUGCAGGAGCCCGUGGAGGAGACCCGGUUUCCAGCACCGAGGGGCUCAAGAAUCUCAGGUCACCUGUGAGAUGAGCUCUGAGCACUUGCCCACACUCCUGAGCAUGAACAUAAAGCCCCAUCACAUGCAGUGGCAGAUGGUUAAGACAACAACCAACCAUCUCGUCAGAUAAAAGCUUCGCUCCACUUAAAGUGGAUGAUUUUUAAAUUUGUUUGUAAAACCUUUGAUAUUUGACUACUAAGAAAUUAUAAGAU
ensembl:lncRNA novel transcript